rnacentral:rRNA from 1 species
UACGGGAGGCAGCAGUGGGGAAUAUUGCACAAUGGGCGAAAGCCUGAUGCAGCUAUGCCGCGUGUAUGAAGAAGGCCUUAGGGUUGUAAAGUACUUUCAUCGGGGAGGAAAAAACAAAACUAAUAAUUUUAUUUCUUGACGUUACCCGAAAAAGAAGCACCGGCUAACUCCGUGCCAGCAGCCGCGGUAAUACGGAGGGUGCUAGCGUUAAUCAGAAUUACUGGGCGUAAAGAGCACGUAGGUGGUUUUUUUAAGUCAGAUGUGAAAUCCCUCGGGCGUUAACCUACGGAACUGCAUUUUGUAAACUGAAAUACUAGAGUAUCGUAGAGGGAGGUAGAAUUCUAGGUGUAGCGGUGAAAUGCGUAGAUAUCUGGAGGAAUACCUGUGGCGAAAGCGGCCUCCUAAACGAAUACUGACACUGAGGUGCGAAAGCGUGGGGAGCAAACAGGGAUUAGAUACC